UCCCUGGUGGUCAAGUAGCUAAGACUCUGCCCUCCCAAUGCUGGGUGUCUGGGUUCGACUCCUGGUCAGGUAA
rnacentral:tRNA from 1 species